ACAAUAGAGCAUGUUAGAUAAGUCCCCUCAAAAAAAAACAUUUUAAUGAUGUAUUAAUUUUUUUUUUAAGAAAAAUUUAAUUACUGAAAGACAUAAUGACUUAAGAUUAAAACAUGACGUCCAACCAUUGACAUGGGAUUCACAACUUGAGAAGUCUGCGAGUGUUGAAGUGGAUUUGAUAAAAAAAUAUGAAAAUUGUAUUGUAAGUGCUAAACAAAUUAAUACUAAUUAUUUUAUAGCCACAAGUAAUAGUUCAGUAGAGUCAGCUGUAGAUUUAUGGUAUGAAGGUAUUAAUAAUUAUGACUUCGAAUUAGGCCCUAUAAAAAAAGGGGAAAAUGUGUUUGAAUUCACCAGGCUUGUGUGGAAAUCUGCGCAGCAUAUUGGAUGUGCAAUUGCCUGUUGUAAAAAUAACGUUAUAUUAGCAUGUAAGUAUGAUAACGACACGAAUAAACCAGGACACUUUGCUAAUAACGUUAAGCCUAUUAAUGUAAGAAAAAAAAGAAAAAGAAAAACAGUUUUUCAAAAUUAUACGCAUUUAAAUGCUUAUUUUAUAUUUUUUUGAAUAAAGUAGAAAAUUUUUUUAAAGACAAGUAUUUGAACUUUUAAUUGUAUUACUAUUAUUAUUAUUUUUUUUUUUUUUAGAAAAUGUUUGUUCAAAUUGAUUACAAAUAAAGAAAUAAGAAAUGUGUAAACCA
rnacentral:lncRNA from 1 species